AGUGAACGCUGGCGGUAGGCCUAACACAUGCAAGUCGAACGGCAGCACAGUAAGAGCUUGCUCUUACGGGUGGCGAGUGGCGGACGGGUGAGGAAUACAUCGGAAUCUACUUUUUCGUGGGGGAUAACGUAGGGAAACUUACGCUAAUACCGCAUACGACCUACGGGUGAAAGCAGGGGAUCUUCGGACCUUGCGCGAUUGAAUGAGCCGAUGUCGGAUUAGCUAGUUGGCGGGGUAAAGGCCCACCAAGGCGACGAUCCGUAGCUGAUCUGAGAGGAUGAUCAGCCACACUGGAACUGAGACACGGUCCAGACUCCUACGGGAGGCAGCAGUGGGGAAUAUUGGACAAUGGGCGCAAGCCUGAUCCAGCCAUACCGCGUGAGUGAAGAAGGCCUUCGGGUUGUAAAGCCCUUUUGUUGGGAAAGAACAGCAGCAGGUUAAUCCCCCGCUGUUCUGACGGUACCCAAAGAAUAAGCACCGGCUAACUUCGUG
rnacentral:rRNA from 1 species